rnacentral:rRNA from 1 species
AUUGAACGCUGGCGGCAGGCCUAACACAUGCAAGUCGAGCGAGCGGCGGCCGGGGGAGUAAUGUCUGGGAAACUGCCUGAUGGCGGGGGAGAACCACUGGAAACGGUAGCUAAUACCGCAUACCAUCAGAUGUGCCCAGAUGGGAUUAGCUAGUAGGUGGGGUAACGGCUCACCUUGGCGACGAUCCCUAGCUGGUCUGAGAGGAUGACCAGCAACACUGGAACUAGGACAAGGUUUAGACUCCGAGGGGAGGCACCAGUGGGGAAUAGUGCACAAUUAGCGCCAGCCUGAUGCAGCCAUGCCGCGUGUGUGAAGAAGGCCUUCGGGUUGUAAAGCACUUUCAGCGGGGGGGCGUUACCCGCAGAAGAAGCACCGGCUAACUCCGUGCCAGCAGCCGCGGUAAUUC